AAAUGACACAAGCCUCGAUUUCGGUAAAAUAAUGUUGAAGUUGACGUCACUUAAUUAGAUAUUUGUUUUCAUUAAUUUGUUUUUAAAGCAACAGCCAUUAGUGUUAAAAUCAAUAAUAUCGGACAAAGACUUUUAAGUUUAAACAUUUCAACAUUAAGUUUAUCGCACUAGUAGUGAAAUAUCACAAAUAAUGAGUGAAUUAGCGGAUUGUUUCCCUUUGAAAUCUACACGCUAUUAACGGUGUAUACAUGUGUGAAACUGGGUCAAAGAAAAAAUGCAGUUACUGCUCUGAAGAUAUGCGGAUAUUUAAAGUGCAUGGCCGAUUUAUUCAUUGUUAUGGACAACCUCCAGCAGUAAGAGAUAAAGGUUCGUUGCAGUUUUGACUUUGCAGCAAGUAUAAUUUGUACACAUACUAUUCUCAGCAAGUGGAGUUGCUGUGAAUUCUCAUGCAGGCUCUCAGAUUUUCUACUUAGUGUAUGAAAAGUACUGUGCAGUACUGCUGUUGGAAGAGGAGCAAACAGUGUGGGGUCUACAUGAUGACUCGGAGUACAACCUGAUGGAGGCCGGGCAUACAGAAUUCAGUCCUGAACUUGUUUAGAAUGUCUACUGCAUGACCUGGUAUAGUAUUCUUGAAAGACUAUAACUUCAACACAGAGACGGAGAUUAAUAUUUUAGGCAGGGGAUUGGCAUGACAGGCAAAUUCUCCAACCGUAUUACCAUUCCUGAGCUAGAUGCCAGUCGACAGUGGUACCUGUAUAAUGAAAUAGCGCCCCUUUGCAGCAACAGCAAUGUAUGCUCAAAACCAGCAGCGCCAAAGCCGUUAAAAUUGAGAACUCAGUCAUUUGAAACGAAGAAUGAAUGGAAAAAAGUAUUUAACAUUUAAAGUAAUACAGAAAAAGAGCUCAGCUAAUUUGGUAUUUUCUGAAAUUUUAAUCAAUUUGAAAGUGUUUUUGAUUUUUUAAAGGUGUACUAGACCCAAAUAUUUGAAUAUGAACAAAUGCUACAUUAUAGUUUAUGUAAACAUUGAAUUAACAAGUUUAUGGUGUCAACAGUACUAUGCAUUGGUUAAAUAUAGACACACUGUAUGUAUUUAAGGCGGAACACAGUAUAAAUGUGAAAUUCCUCUAAACACUGGAAGAUUUUUCAACAAUGUACUGUUUAGUACUGCAUGACAUAAAAUUAUGAAUGUAGCUCUACAUACACAGUUGAUUUAUACAUUAAGCAAAGUUAGAUAUAUUUAUUGAUGAUUUUCUACAUUUGAAGUAAUUACCUAAAUAUUAAAUAUUUUAGUGAAGAUAUAUUUUAUGCAACUAUAUAAGUUGAAAAAUGCUCCCUUCAGGAAGAAUGAAAUGAUACUUUUACUUGAAAAUUUAUGUAAAAAAUGAAGGAAAUAGAUGUUAAAAUGAAUUCUUUAUUUUAUAAAAAAUGUUGUUGCCAUGGAAACAGAACUUGAGUAUUAAGUAUAUAUGCUUUCAUACCAGAGCAAUUUGAUUUUUAAUUAUAAUUAUGUAAACAAUUUAAUGUUAUAUAACCAUCACUGAUACUUUUAAUUUUCAAUUGACACUGUCAUUGAGCAAUGCAUCUUACAUUUGAAGUUGAAUGACACAUUACAAAUAUUAGAUAUUUAUGGAAUUGCUUUUAGAUAUUUUUGAGAAGAAUAUAAAUCAGAACAAGAAGCUGCGUUCAAUAAACGCUUGAUGCCCCCGGUGGCAUCCUUGUCGAUAAAAAAGCAACCUAAGUCCAAAACGAGGUCAAGUUCAAGGUCAAACUGAGGUCAGGUGAUGUGUGAAGAUGAGGAAUGGUCACAGGUUACAUCUGCAUUAGUAUCAAGUCAUGUUAGUAAGGGGUAUUGAUGCUAGACGAAACGGUCCCAUUUGGUUAACCAAGAGAUGGCCCAUAUCAAGCAACCUAAGUCCAAAAUGAGGUCAAGGUCAAACUGAGGUCAAGUGCUGUGUGAAGAUGAGGAAUGGUCACAGGUUACAUCUGCAUUAGUAUCAAGUCAUUCUAGCAAGGGGUAUUGGUGCUAGACGAAACGGUCCCAUUUGGUUAACAUCGUACGGACGGACGAACGGACGGACAGGACAAUCACUAUAUGCCUCCCACAUCAGUAGAUGCCGGGGGCAUAAAAACCAAAAAUUCUUAUUCUUCUAGAGAAGUAAUAUAUAUUUUAUAAAUUUACAUUUUUUUUUUGCAUCAAAUGUAGGCUAAAAUGUCUGUUGAAUUGACAUUUAAAGCAAUUGUUGUAUUUUGUUGCUAUGGAAACUUGAAUUAUGACAAUUUUUUAAAUAUAAAAUAGCUUAUUUAUAGCAAGUAGGCAUUAUCAACUGUGCUAAUCAUGUUAAAUACUUUUGAUAUUGAUAGCAAAAUAUGAAAUUAAAAUAUAUGAUAAAAGUACCUGA